AGAGUUUGAUCCUGGCUCAGAUUGAACGCUGGCGGCAGGCUUAACACAUGCAAGUCGAGCGGGGAAAGGUAGCUUGCUACCUUACCUAGCGGCGGACGGGUGAGUAAUGCUUAGGAAUCUGCCUAUUAGUGGGGGACAACAUUUCGAAAGGAAUGCUAAUACCGCAUACGCCCUACGGGGGAAAGCAGGGGACCUUCGGGCCUUGCGCUAAUAGAUGAGCCUAAGUCGGAUUAGCUAGUUGGUGGGGUAAAGGCCUACCAAGGCGACGAUCUGUAGCGGGUCUGAGAGGAUGAUCCGCCACACUGGGACUGAGACACGGCCCAGACUCCUACGGGAGGCAGCAGUGGGGAAUAUUGGACAAUGGGGGGAACCCUGAUCCAGCCAUGCCGCGUGUGUGAAGAAGGCCUUUUGGUUGUAAAGCACUUUAAGCGAGGAGGAGGCUACUCUAGUUAAUACCUAGGGAUAGUGGACGUUACUCGCAGAAUAAGCACCGGCUAACUCUGUGCCAGCAGCCGCGGUAAUACAGAGGGUGCGAGCGUUAAUCGGAUUUACUGGGCGUAAAGCGUGCGUAGGCGGCUUUUUAAGUCGGAUGUGAAAUCCCUGAGCUUAACUUAGGAAUUGCAUUCGAUACUGGGAAGCUAGAGUAUGGGAGAGGAUGGUAGAAUUCCAGGUGUAGCGGUGAAAUGCGUAGAGAUCUGGAGGAAUACCGAUGGCGAAAGCAGCCAUCUGGCCUAAUACUGACGCUGAGGUACGAAAGCAUGGGGAGCAAACAGGAUUAGAUACCCUGGUAGUCCAUGCCGUAAACGAUGUCUACUAGCCGUUGGGGCCUUUGAGGCUUUAGUGGCGCAGCUAACGCGAU
rnacentral:rRNA from 1 species